ACAAGAGGAAUGAUGUGUUCUGACAGGUUACAAACUUCUGGAGGACCCAGCCUAACUCCAGAACAAAUUGGAAACUAAUUACAAAUGUUGUAUUAAGAGUGAAAAACGAAUACCAAAUUAGAAACAUUUUGACAGCUGCUUUAAAACAUGCUAGUCUCCAGGCCUUUGCUGUCGACAGUAUGCGGCAGGAGUCAGUGAAUUGGUGCCUCAGAACUGGGUACAAGCCUCAGGCAAGGCGUCAGAACUGCUGAGUCAAAUCCAGUUUGACAAGGUCUCCAGGUGACAUCUGUGCAGUGGUCUACCCUGAAAAAUGGCUCAUUUGCAUUUUAAUUGGGUCAUUUUCCAUCCUCUCCUCCCCCCACCUUGCAACUUCUCUGUGCUGCUGAGAACUGGAGACAGAUGUUGUCGCUGCAUCUGGGUGACUGGAAUGUCAAUGUCCAUUCAGUGGCUACCAAACCACAUGACCCCUGAAUUAAAAAGCUGAGGGAAUUCCCAGUUCAAGUGUCAUAUGUCCAAACAGCCCCACCACAGUAGAAACUGUUUUGUUUUGUUUUUUAAAAUUAAAAUCUACAACAGUAAGA